CUUCUGUGUAGGACUUUCUUGAAAGCCCACUUUUGUACAGUUGGACCUCAGAUCAGGCGAGACUACCUGCUGAACUUAAGCAUAUCAAUAAGCGGAGGAAAAGAAACUAACCAGGAAGGGC
rnacentral:rRNA from 1 species